rnacentral:rRNA from 1 species
AUUGAACGCUGGCGGCAGGCCUAACACAUGCAAGUCGAGCGGAUGAAGGGAGCUUGCUCCUGGAUUCAGCGGCGGACGGGUGAGUAAUGCCUAGGAAUCUGCCUGGUAGUGGGGGAUAACGUCCGGAAACGGGCGCUAAUACCGCAUACGUCCUGAGGGAGAAAGUGGGGGAUCUUCGGACCUCACGCUAUCAGAUGAGCCUAGGUCGGAUUAGCUAGUUGGUGGGGUAAAGGCCUACCAAGGCGACGAUCCGUAACUGGUCUGAGAGGCUGAUCAGUCACACUGGAACUGGGACACGGUCCAGACUCCUACGGGAGGCAGCAGUGGGGAAUAUUGGACAAUGGGCGAAAGCCUUAUCCAGCCAUGCCGCGUGUGUGAAGACGGUCUUCGGAUUGUAAAGCACUUUAAGUUGUGAGGAAGGGCAGUAAGUUAAUACCUUGCUGUUUUGACGUUACCAACAGAAUAAGCACCGGCUAACUUCGUG